AAAACAGAUUGAACAAUGUUAUGCUGCCCAUGUUGUUCACACUUGUCAACAAUAUUGAACAAUAUUGUUGAGCCUGAAUCGGGUGUAACAGUAUUGUUCAAUAUUGUUGACAACUGUGAACAAUGUGGGCAGCAAAACAUUGUUCAAUCCUGUUUU